rnacentral:rRNA from 1 species
AGAGUUUGAUCCUGGCUCAGGACGAACGCUGGCGGCGCGCCUCAUACAUGCAAGUCGAGCGAGAACCAGGGCUUCGGCCCUGGGGACAGCGGCGAACGGGUGAGUAACACGUGAGCAACCUGCCCCGAAGACCGGGACAAGCCGGGGAAACCUGGUCUAAUACCGGAUGUCCUCUUCCGAUCGCAUGGUCGGAUGAGGAAAUGGAUUCCGCUUCGGGAUGGGCUCGCGGUCUAUCAGCUUGUUGGUGGGGUAACGGCCUACCAAGGCAACGACGGAUAGCUGGUCUGAGAGGACGAUCAGCCACACUGGGACUGAGACACGGCCCAGACUCCUACGGGAGGCAGCAGUAGGGAAUCUUGCGCAAUGGGGGAAACCCUGACGCAGCGACGCCGCAUGCGGGAUGAAGGUCUUCGGAUUGUAAACCGCUUUCAGCAGGGACGAAAUUGACGGUACCUGCAGAAGAAGGCCCGGCCAACUACGUGCCAGCAGCCGCGGUA